GGACUACAAGGGUAUCUAAUCCCGUUUGCUCCCCUAGCUUUCGUGUCUCAGCGUCAGCACACCCCCAGCGAGCUGUUUUCACCGUUGGCGUUCCAAAUGAUAUCUACGCAUUUCACCGCUCCACCAUUUGUUCCGCUCGCCCCUAGGUGGCUCAAGACUCUCAGUCUACCAAGCAGUUCCACGGUUAAGCCGUGGGAUUUCACAAGGCACUUAGGAGUCCGCCUACACACGCUUUAAGCCCAGUGAUUCCGCCUAACGCUUGGCACCUCUGUAUUACCGCGGCUGCUGGCAC
rnacentral:rRNA from 1 species